rnacentral:piRNA from 1 species
UAUAACACAUAAAUACACGUUUGGGCA